CAGCAGCCGCGGUAAUACGUAGGGUGCAAGCGUUAUCCGGAAUUAUUGGGCGUAAAGAGCUCGUAGGCGGUUUGUCGCGUCUGCUGUGAAAACUGGAGGCUCAACCUCCAGCCUGCAGUGGGUACGGGCAGACUAGAGUGCGGUAGGGGAGAUUGGAAUUCCUGGUGUAGCGGUGGAAUGCGCAGAUAUCAGGAGGAACACCGAUGGCGAAGGCAGAUCUCUGGGCCGUAACUGACGCUGAGGAGCGAAAGCGUGGGGAGCGAACAGGAUUAGAUACCCCCGUAGUCCCUGUCUCUUAUAC
rnacentral:rRNA from 1 species